rnacentral:rRNA from 1 species
UACGGAGGGAGCUAGCGUUGUUCGGAAUUACUGGGCGUAAAGCGCACGUAGGCGGCUUUGUAAGUUAGAGGUGAAAGCCCAGGGCUCAACCCUGGAAUUGCCUUUAAGACUGCAUCGCUUGAACAUCGGAGAGGUAAGUGGAAUUCCGAGUGUAGAGGUGAAAUUCGUAGAUAUUCGGAAGAACACCAGUGGCGAAGGCGACUUACUGGACGAUUGUUGACGCUGAGGUGCGAAAGCGUGGGGAGCAAACAGG